UCGGUGACUCUAAGUGAUGGCGGGGCCGCU
rnacentral:sRNA from 1 species